AUCCGUAUUUUCGCGAGCGAUUCGCCACGCC
rnacentral:sRNA from 1 species